ACAGACAAACAAGCAAAGGCUUGUUUGGUGGUACCAGCCACAGCAGGGAGCUCAUGUGCCUGCCCCAUGCUUCAGGACUACGAUGUGGUGUCCGUAAUUGGAUAGAACGCUCAGGCUACUUCCGGGAAGGGUUCUUGAAUCUACACCUCCAACGGUAGAAAUAAAUGUAUGGACCAAGAAUUGCUGAGUGAUGGCUUUCGAAGUUAAAAGGGCAUAAAAAGGGGCCACUCAUCACACCAAAUUCAUCACGAAUGACUUAAAUAGAUCUCACAAUCUGUUCCAUUCUCUAGACAGGAUUUAAGAGAAACGCCCACUUGAUUUGAAUCUCAAGGCUGCAUCACAUCCUGCUAGGAAUCCAGAGAGCUAAUAUUUCGCCUUGAAUCUUGUUACCGGAGGAGGAUAUUGAAUUUGGAUAAUACAGGUGGAGAAGUGGGACGGCUGGCAGGCAGGCUGCUGUGAGGGCCCACCGCGCUGGGCCGUGAGACUUCUUCCUCUUGCCUCUCCAUUUUGCUGUCUGUCCAUUCUCUCUUUAGGACAAAGCCUUCAUCUUCUUUUUGGAUCAGGCCCCUGUCAUGGUCAGCCUCACCCUUUCUUCAACCCGGUAUUCCGUUCUUCUGUCUCCUCUCUUCUUGCCUUGGUGAGGACAUGGGUUGAUGCUCAAUGGCCGUGGGCUGAUGGGAACUGCAGUUGUCUACAGCAUUUGCAACAGCAGAGCUCACUCUGAAACAGGAAGGGGCCCGGUUGGAAGGCAGCAUCCCUGGACAGCAGCAAGUGGAUUAUCCCCGAUGAGGGGAAAGGCUUACUUGCCUCUCUCCCACUCUGAGGUCUUCUUCAUCACUUUCUUAUGGGCUGGGAACUAUUCUCCCAUUCUACGGAAGCUGAGAGACACCAGAUGACCUACCCUGCUUCUACAGUAUGACCUCACACGUGUGGCUGGCUGUGCAUGGACAUGUAUGCACACACACACGGAAGCCAGAAGUUGACCUCCUGUGCCUAUUGUUCUGACACAGACUCUCCCAUUGAGGUUGGAAUUCGGUGACUCAGUCUGGCUAGGCUGAUUGACCAGUGGGCCCAGGACUCUUUCUGGCUCUGGUUUCUGACUCUAGGGUUGUAAAUCCAUGCUGAUAUGCACUCCUUUAGAUGGGAUAUGGAUCUCUUCAGCCCCGAGAAUCCCCACCCUUAAACAUCUCAUCUCCCUCUGCAUGCUGGCUCCCAGUGUUGCUCUCGUCUAAGAGUUUUGUCCACAUUCGUGACACCAAGACUUCUGAGUCAUAUUUAAAAAGCCAACAACAGUGCUAAUCAGAAUUAACGUGGCCUUGCUGUGAACGGUUGACCUCUGUCGGCUGCUCUGAUUGCUUCCUGGGACGUGCGCACUUCUUCACGUCCUCACAGAGCACCACGUUGGUUUACAUUACUUCGAGUCCUUGCCGGAGGACCACGUUGGUUUUGCGUGGCUAAUCUAAGAAUCUACCCAUGAACUUUUUCCACCUGCAGCCAAGGCUCAUUCAUUUGUUCAAUCAACAAAUAUUUAUUGCAGCCCUGCUACGGGCAGCCGACUGAGUAAAGUGCUGGGGGAGGGAUACAAAGAGGCAAAAGGCACAGUCGUUGCCCAUCAGAAAUCGCCACCAGUGGAGAAUUAAAUUAAUUAGAAGCCCGCUAAAUAACUGGUCUCAGUUAAGCUGAUGGGGUGAGAACAGUGGGCCUUUUAAAAUGCUAAUCUAUAAUUCGCUUUGCCAACGUAGACAGCAGUUGGGAGGGGGGCUCUGUGGGGGUGACUGAGAAUGCUCUCCUUUAGGUAACAUCAUAGGCAUGAGUACAUACAAACUGCCUUUCAAGGGGCAGAGGUGGGCAUAGCUUGAUGUCUCCUCAUGGAACUGGCCUAGUCUUGCUUACAAAGACCAACACCACAGGCUUUAGAAAGGGAGAAGUAAUGGAGACACGGUCUUUGUCCUGCAAUCAGAGAUAAAUGACCUAUAGUGGGGUGAAGUCCAGGUAUUUUAACCCCACCCCCCAGGCUGAACCGUAACCAAUUACCUGCUGCCAGUUUAUUCUAAUGGAACACAACAAAAAAAGUCUGUAUUUCUCCCAUGUCCAGUAUUACAACGUCCCUCAGAAUACGCACAUACAUAAACACUCUCCCACUUCUCCAGCGCUCUCCAGUAUGCCAAGUAGUGUCCGGGUCACUAGGAGAACAAUCAGGAGGUACAAGUCCAGUGUCCCUCCUUGGAGUCUGUCCUGUUUGGUGGAUAAGACUGUAAGAAUAAAAGCACAGGAUGAUGGAGGGGUCUGCGAUUAUUAAUUCAUAGACAAGAGGUGAAAACCGGAGGGGUGCAAAGAAGCUAAGUCUUAGCGGUCUUCGAAAGCAGGCUAGGGUUCCGGCGAGAAGCAGACACGAGCAGCGCAAUCCACUUUGAGGAAACACUGUGGCUCUUCGGGGGUGAAAGCUCUCCCAGUGGGGCUGGAGGAGAGGCUUAUCUGCAAAAACACUAGAACAUCCCGAUAAACACAGAACCUGCUGGGAACUGACUUGGAACCUUAUUUUAGAGGUCUUUAAAUAGUGGGCUAAACGGCUUGUAUUUUUAUCCCAUAGCCAACACAUUAAAAAAAAAAUAUGGUCAGUAAGUGAUUUUCAGAACUCUGUCCACAGGCAAGCUUAAGAAAUUGGAUAGCAAGAUGUCAAGUGGCCUGAAGGCGACUCCGAGGAAGGAAAGUGACCAACAGGAGGCCAGUUCUUGAAGACAUUAGCCAGCUGCGCUGGCUCUGCUAUGGCGACCGCACUGGGAACAAACUGCUUAGUCAUCUUUGGCAGUGAGCACCUUCUAUGGUCAUGUAAAUUUCCUAUCUGUGCUUGUCUAGGUCCACCCCACACUGUCCUUUAAAACCAUCCCAAACUCUACCUUACUGAUUGACCGUUGGCCUGUAUGAAGAAGAGCUUAAAUACACCGUCGUUGGGGCCAAGACAGGCCAGCAAGUGCCUAGAGGGACAAUUUGUACAUACAGAAGGCAUCAUUUCUCUUUGAGCGUUUAACCCUUUAGCAUUAUGUCUGAAAGGAGAAUGACGAACACAACCAGAAAAAGAAAAAAAAAAAAAAAAAAAAA
rnacentral:sRNA from 1 species